GACGGAGGGUGCAAGCGUUGUUCGGAUUGACUGGGCGUAAAGAGCUCGUAGGCGGUUUGUCGCGUCGAAUGUGAAAACCCGGGGCUCAACCCCGGGCCUGCAUUCGAUACGGGCAGACUAGAGUUCGGUAGGGGAGUCUGGAAUUCCUGGUGUAGCGGUGAAAUGCGCAGAUAUCAGGAGGAACACCGGUGGCGAAGGCGGGACUCUGGGCCGAUACUGACGCUGAGGAGCGAAAGCGUGGGGAGCAAACAGG
rnacentral:rRNA from 1 species